GACGAACGCUGGCGGCGUGCUUAACACAUGCAAGUCGAACGGUGAAGCGAGUGCUUGCACUCGUGGAUCAGUGGCGAACGGGUGAGUAACACGUGAGUAACCUGCCCAUCACUCUGGGAUAAGCACUGGAAACGGUGUCUAAUACUGGAUACGACCAACCCUUGCAUGGGGUGUUGGUGGAAAGAUUUAUCGGUGGUGGAUGGACUCGCGGCCUAUCAGCUUGUUGGCGGGGUAAUGGCCCACCAAGGCGACGACGGGUAGCCGGCCUGAGAGGGUGACCGGCCCAACGGGGCCGGGGGACCGGCCCGAACCCCAAGGGGGGGAAGCGGGGGGAAAAUUUGCCCAAGGGGGGAAGGCCGGAUGCAGGGCCCCCGGGGGGGGGAGGACGGCCUUGGGGUUUAAAACCCUUUUCAGCAGGGAAGAAGCGAAAGGGGCGGUACCGGCAAAAAAAGCACCGGCAACUUCCGU
rnacentral:rRNA from 1 species